GUGGGGAAUAUUGGACAAUGGGCGAAAGCCUGAUCCAGCAAUGCCGCGUGAGUGAUGAAGGCCUUAGGGUUGUAAAGCUCUUUCGCCUGAGACGAUGAUGACGGUAUCAGGAGAAGAAGCCCCGGCUAAUUCCGUGCCAGCAGCCGCGGUAAUACGGAAGGGGCUAGCGUUGUUCGGAAUUACUGGGCGUAAAGCGCGCGCAGGCGGUUGGACAAGUGAGGCGUGAAAGCCCUGGGCUCAACCUGGGAAUUGCGUUUCAGACUGUUCGACUGGAGUUCGGGAGAGGGUGGUGGAAUUCCCAGUGUAGAGGUGAAAUUCGUAGAUAUUGGGAGGAACACCGGUGGCGAAGGCGGCCACCUGGCCCGUAACUGACGCUAUAGCGCGAAAGCGUGGGGAGCAAACAGGAUUAGAUACCCUAGUAGUCC
rnacentral:rRNA from 1 species